GACGAACGCUGGCGGCGUGCCUAACACAUGCAAGUCGAGCGAGUGAAUCUCCUUCGGGAGUGAAGCUAGCGGCGGACGGGUGAGUAACACGUGGGCAACCUGCCUCAUAGAGGGGAAUAGCCUUUCGAAAGGAAGAUUAAUACCGCAUAAGAUUGUAGCUUCGCAUGAAGUAGCAAUUAAAGGAGCAAUCCGCUAUGAGAUGGGCCCGCGGCGCAUUAGCUAGUUGGUGAGGUAACGGCUCACCAAGGCGACGAUGCGUAGCCGACCUGAGAGGGUGAUCGGCCACAUUGGGACUGGGACACGGCCAGACUCCUACGGGAGGCAGCAGUGGGGAAUAUUGCACAAUGGGGGAAACCCUGAUGCAGCAACGCCGCGUGAGUGAUGACGGCCUUCGGGUUGUAAAGCUCUGUCUUCAGGGACGAUAAUGACGGUACCUGAGGAGGAAGCCACGGCUAACUACGUGCCAGCCGCCGCGGUAA
rnacentral:rRNA from 1 species